UGAGUAACCUGCCCCUCUCUCUGGGAUAACCCCGGGAAACCGGAGCUAAUACCGGAUACUCCGGCGGGAUCGCAUGGUCCGGCCGGGAAAGGUCCGCCGGAGAGGGAUGGGCCCGCGGCCUAUCAGCUUGUUGGUGGGGUGAUGGCCUACCAAGGCGACGACGGGUAGCCGGCCUGAGAGGGCGACCGGCCACACUGGGACUGAGACACGGCCCAGACUCCUACGGGAGGCA
rnacentral:rRNA from 1 species